rnacentral:rRNA from 1 species
UAGUCCACGCUGUAAACGAUGUCGAUUUGGAGUUUGUUGCCUAGAGUGAUGGGCUCCGAAGCUAACGCGAUAAAUCGACCGCUGGGGAGUACGGCCGCAAGGUUAAAACUCAAAUGAAUUGACGGGGGCCCGCACAAGCGGUGGAGCAUGUGGUUUAAUUCGAUGCAACGCGAAGAACCUUACCUGGUCUUGACAUCCAUAGAAUUCUGCAGAGAUGUGGGAGUGCCUUCGGGAACUAUGAGACAGGUGCUGCAUGGCUGUCGUCGGCUCGUGUUGUGAAAUGUUGGGUUAAGUCCCGCAACGAGCGCAACCCUUAUUCUUUGUUGCCAGCGAUUUGGUCGGGAACUCAAAGGAGACUGCCGUUGAUAAAGCGGAGGAAGGUGGGGACGACGUCAAGUCAUCAUGGCCCUUACGACCAGGGCUACACACGUGCUACAAUGGCGUAUACAAAGGGAAGCGAAGGUGCGAGCUGGAGCGGAUCUCAUAAAGUACGUCUAAGUUCGGAUUGGAGUCUGCAACUCGACUCCAUGAAGUCGGAAUCGCUAGUAAUCGUAGAUCAGAAUGCUACGGUGAAUACGUUCCCGGGCCUUGUACACACCGCCCGUCACACCAUGGGAGUGGGUUGCACCAGAAGUAGAUAGCUUAACCGCGAGGGGGGCGUUUACCACGGUGUGAUUCAUGACUGGGGUGAAGUCGUAACAAGGUAACCA